UCCCGGACAGUUUACUAAACUGUCCCGGACGGUUUAUGCGCACGAACGGUUCAAAACUUUCCAAAACCGUCCCGGACAGUUUGUAAACUGUCCGGGACAGUUAAGUUAACUGUCCGGGACAGUUUAGUAAACUGUCCGGGACAGUUUACAAACCGUCUCGGACGGUUUAUAAACUGUCCCGGACAGUU